UCUCAGGGCAGGCAAGACCUGUCCCACGGGGGCUAAUCUGUACGGCCCGAGCCAGGGACACACGCUACAAGCAGCAGGAGUUUGCAGCACGUUCCCCCAGAAGUCACUGCACAGGGGAAGCAAAGGCGGCAAGAGCCCAGGCUGAGGGAUUCAUUUGCUUGAAGCUAGGUCACAGCAGUGCCUGGACAGUCUGCUGGAAGUCUGUGUCCAUUUCUGGUGUCAGCCAAGAAGGAAAUAGCUAAAUUGAAAAGAGUUCAGAGAAGAGCUUCAAGAAUGAGUAAAGGAUUAGCAAACAUGUCUUAUCGUGAGAGACUCCAGAAGCUCAAUCAGUUUACCUUAACAAAGAGAAGGUAUCUCUGACACUGGUCUCAUCUGAUUUCUAAGAAACUACAGACGAGCUGAGAGAGAAGGCAGCAAGGAAGCAUCAGGAGUGCCCUGAACAAGUACUUAGUGUGUGGUCCUCAAAAAGCAUAGAGAGAGAGAUUUUGGGCCAGUUGCUGGCUAACGGAAGUAUGGGACUGUCAGGUUUGGGUCUGUGAGCAAGAAAACGGUCUCCUGUUGUUUAGCUCCUCCCGUGUUCAGGGAAACAGAACAUUCUACAUUCUCUCUACAUGAACAAGAUUGCAUUAAAGGUACCUGAACCCAUCAUAGAUUUCUCCUCCUAACUGGAACAACCUGCAGGGCCCCAAACUGUGACUAGCCACUUAGGUCAAAAGUGGUAACACUAACUACAGUGAGAAACUGGAAAAUCAAAGGCAUUCCUCAUAUGCUGAUCCCAGACUCUUCUUGGCAUAUGAGCCUCUCCCCAGAAAUCCAUUAGAUCAGGAAAAUAAUCAACUCCUCUCAAAUGUUGUCAAGCGCAAUCUUCUUGCUUUCUGCUUAAACAGAAUCAAUUUUUCAGCUCCUCUUCUAAGGUGUUAUUGUGUCACCUACUUGUGGCAUCCAUGUUCUGUGUCAAUGUUCUCAUUGUGGUUGCCUCUCAUAGGUUGCGUGCCAACCUGUCACACAGCCAGUAGGACCGUAGUAAAUGGCUCUGCAGCAGAAGGUUGUCAUUUGCAGUGCUCUCUUUUAGGCAGACAGCAGAAGCUGUAGCCAGCAGAGAUAGUCCAUAGCCACUAAGUCUUUACAGGGCUCAACUCAUUUGAGGUAAAUCUACCUUCAUGGGCAAGUUUAAGACGAAACUCCUGUGAAGCUACAGAUACAGACUUCCCCCGACCCUCCAGCUUUAUGUAAUGAAAGUGCCUUAGGCCAUUGGUGUUUGCUUUUGGAAUAUGCAGCUUUUCUUAAGCUUGGAGCCUUUCCAAAGUGACUUGGCUGUGAGCUUAAUUGGAAACCCUUAAUUCUCAUUUCAAAUACAGUACCAACCUUGCCUCACCUUCCCUUCUCUCCCCAAUUUCCCUCUGAGCCUGGAGCUUUGUGGAAGGAACAUCUGGCUGUGAUCCUCAAUGCCUUGUUUCGAACAUCAUUCGUCCCUCAAUUUUUCUGCCAGGACAAGUACCAGCAGAAACCCAUUUUCAUUUUGCUCCAUCUGCUUGGAGCAGAAAAGCUGUUGGCUGUAAACCUGCAGUGUUCAAUGUCCUUGCCCAGAUAGUCAUUAUGGAACAGAAAUGGGUGCUUGGGGAAGAAUUCUGAGACCUCAGGGCCCAAUAGAGGAAAAAACUAUAGGUAGUGCCCUGCUGCCAAAUCCAGAUCUUCAGUCUCUUCCAAAUUCUGGGAUCCUGGAUUCACUGCUCAUUCCUGGCAUCUGUUGUGCAACGAAGAUUCCCUCUCUCUUUGUCCCUUAACAUGGCAGGCUAUAUUGAAUAGCAAGUCCUAGGUAUGCUGUUUGGUUCCUCAAAGAAUGGACAAGCUUUUUCUUCAGCCCUUGAUCUUCAUUCAUUGUCAUGGCCUUUUGCUGUUAUCCAGUACUGCCACCCCCAAAGUUCAAAACUCAUGAUUCAAAUGCCCCCCAAAAUGAGAUUUUUUUUAAAAGAAAACCAUUGUGAUUCUUGGUUAGCUUUCAGACUCUUGUCUGUAUGUGGGGAGUGGGGCUGGAGGAGGGUGACACCUACUGUUGUCAUCUCUCAGUAUACAGUAAGUAAAGUAACUUAUUUUGGGGGGUGGGAAGGAGGCCACUGCAGGAGCUCUGGAUAGAAGAUGCAAUUGAGAUAAAAUUAUAAACUUGCCUCAGAUACUGCCCGAUAGUGUAGAGGGCUUCAACCCCCAAAUUUCCAAUUAUUUCUCUGCACUCCCAGCCCCAGAUCUGCCCCUUGGUUUCUGUGCACCUUGUCUCCUCCUGUAGCUAUGGAGGCUCUUAACCUCCCCACCUCGCCCUAAGGUGGCACGCGGGGCACCUCCAGAAAUUCUUCACCCCUCACUCCUAGGCCUGGAGUUGUCUAGCUAGAGAAGAGCUGCCUGCCUCUGUUUUUUUCCUUUUUUCCACAAGGGAGGAGGAAGCGAGCUUCCCUGAGCUGCUGGGUUCUCUCAGCUUCCUCCCCUCUUGGGACAAUGGUAUUGGCUGCUCCUUCCCCUACCCAGAAACUUCUGUGGGUCUUGGGGAGAGAGCUCUGCCUGCCAAAGGCAGCAGCUAUAAUAGAAUCAUAGAAUAUCAGGGUUGGAAGGGACCUCAGGAGGUCAUCUAGUCCAACCCCCUGCUCAAGGCAGGACCAAUUCCCCAAUUUUUGCCCCAGAUCCCAAAUGGCCCCCUCAAGGAUUGAACUCACAACCCUGGGUUUAGUAGGCCAAUGCUCAAACCACUGAGCUAUCCCUCCCCCAAAGACUAUGUGCUCCAGGUGGGGCUCGAACUCACAACCUCGGCAUUGCUCUGCUCUGUACUGCUGUAUAAGUACUGCGCGCUAACCGAUUGCGCCACUGGAGCUGUGCUUCUCCAGGAGCCAGGGAAGUAAGGAAGGCAGCCAAUAGGAGGCCCUUCCGUCUUGGUAGAUCUGAAAAAUCAACAUGAGCAAAGAACUUCUUUCUCUUUCUCUCUCUCUCUCACCGAGACUGCCUGCAGCAAUGGCCAAAAUCCUGGCAACAAACUGUGAGAGUUGAUAACACCUGUUGCACCUAACCUUUGAGGACAUUAACAAGUGACUGUUUGUUGGCCUGAAUGAUGCCCUGUUUGGAACGUCCAGUUGUGCACUGGGUUUUCCUGAAUUACCAGCAUUUGUCUAUGACUGGUUCUUCUUGUAACUCCAGAUGGUUGCCAGUGCCUGAUUAUCUGUCUCUGGCCAGCUGACAGCGCGUUCCUAGGAAAUCUUCUGAAACAUCCUUGGUGAGAAAGGAGUUGUUAGCAGGACAAUGCUGAAGAAGAAGCUGAUACCAUUUAAAAGAGCAGGCAAAUGAGCUCUCUGAUGCAAUGCAGUGCUAUUACCACUUGUAAGCAUCUUCUGGCAAACUUGAUCUUUGGUCAACAGACCAGUGGUCCAGUUGGACUAUUAACAUACAGAGGUAAAGGUUUAUCAUCAGAAAUAUCUGUGCCAUGGUAAGGAUUCUAAACCAUGUGUGAUCCCAUUAACUAGUUAGACUAGGCAAGAUGUUAUCAUACAAUCACCCAUGUGGUAAGUUAUUUGAUAUGUUUUAUCAGCUUGAUAUAUGGCAUAUCUGUACGGUCUGAUUUGUCUUUACAGUCACUUCUAUUUCAGCGUUUUAAAAGUGUUUUUGUAUGUUUUAUCUGUAUAAUGUAUAGGAUGUGAUGGGAUCCCUGGGGUACAAUCUGGAACUGGGGUACCAUUAUGCCCCCUUAUCUCUCAAGCCUUGGCUGUCUUUCACAAGGGUUUUCUAGUGAUAACAGCAAACCCCUCCAGGCGCUGUUAUCACUCAGUACAAUAGCAUGUGGAGCCCAACACCCAGCUAAAUUGCAUGAAUGCUCCCUGAGACACUCACAAAUCACACAGAGAAAAGCACCAGCAAAUCUCCCAAGCCCCCAGGCUUGCACCCCAGGACUGUAUUGUCUUGCCCUGGUUAGAAGCCUGACCAGUGUAAGUUCAUUACCGAAUCUGUCCCUCCCUCAAUGUGGUGAGGACACACACUGGCCUUUGUAAACUGAGCUGAGAUUUCCCAGGCACUUCAACCAAACCACACACUGUUUUAGGUAAAACACAUAAGACAGAUUUAUUAACUACAGAAGGAAAUAUUUGAAGUCAUUAUAAGUCAUAGGCACAAGAGGUCAGACAUAGUUACCAAAGAAAAUAAAAUGUAAGAGUAAGCUUGCAGUCUAAAUCCUGAACCUUAUUAGACUAAGGGUAUGUCUAGACUACGAAAUUAGGUUGAAUUUGUAGAAGUCGGUUUUUUAGAAAUCGGUUUUAUAUAUUCGAGUGUGUGUGUCCCCACAGAAAAUGCUCUAA